rnacentral:misc_RNA from 1 species
GUUAGGCUUUUGAUUAACGGAAUCAAAUUUUCAUAAUCAUUGUGUUGUUUUGUUUUCCUUACCGUUUCACUAGGACUGAAGCAUGGACCAAGCACUUCUUGUAAUAGAGGCAACCUCUGAUAAGUGAUAACACUAGAGCUCCUUUUCAAUGUGUGUUAGCUAUUGGUUAAAAAGGCUAAUACAGUAUAUCAAAUCAUUCUACUUUUAAGGUUUUGU